GUGGGGAAUCUUCCGCAAUGGACGAAAGUCUGACGGAGCAACGCCGCGUGAGUGAUGAAGGUUUUCGGACUGUAAAGCUCUGUUGUUUAGGACGAAAGUGCCUGUUGCAAAUAGUUACAGGUAUUGACGGUACUGAACGAGGAAGCCACGGCUAACUACGUGCCAGCAGCCGCGGUAAUACGUAGGUGGCAAGCGUUGUCCGGAAUUAUUGGGCGUAAAGAGCAUGUAGGCGGGAAUCUAAGUCUGUUGUGAAAAUGCGGGGCUCAACCCCGUAUUGCGAUGGAAACUGGGUUUCUUGAGUACCGGAGAGGAAAGCGGAAGUCCCCGUGUAGCGGUGAAAUGCGUAGAUAUGGGGAGGAACACCCGUGGCGAAGGCGGCUUUCUGGACGGUGUCUGACACUGAGGCGCGAAAGCCAGGGGAGCGAACGGGAUUAGAAACCCGGGUAGUCC
rnacentral:rRNA from 1 species